rnacentral:rRNA from 1 species
GACAGAGGUGCCGAGCGUUAGGCGGAAUCACUGGGCUUAAAGCGUGUGUAGGCGGGUCCGUAAGUACCUUGUGAAAUCCCACGGCUCAACCGUGGAACUGCUCGGUAUACUGCGGGUCUUGAGCUGUCUAGGGGCGACCGGAACAAACGGUGGAGCGGUGAAAUGCGUAGAUAUCAGGAGGAACACCGGUGGCGAAGGCGGAUCUCUGGGCCAUUACUGACGCUGAGGAGCGAAAGCGUGGGGAGCGAACAGG